rnacentral:rRNA from 1 species
GUGUAACAACUCACCUGCCGAAGUAACAAGCCCUGAAAAUGGAAGGCGCUCAAGCGUCCUCCCGAUACUCGACCGUCCGGGUAGUAAUGGCCCUUGCGGGUCUCGAAGCCCCGACGAGUAGGAGUGUUGUGAAGGUGAGCGUUGAAGGGAACGGCGUGAGCCGGCCUGGAGCCGCUGAUAUUUCAGAUCUUGGUGGUAGUAGC